rnacentral:rRNA from 1 species
CCUACGGGUGGCAGCAGUGGGGAAUAUUGCACAAUGGGGGCAACCCUGAUGCAGCGAAGCCGCGUGAGGGAAGAAGUCUCUCGGUAUGUAAAGCUCUAUCAGCAGGGGAGUUAAUGACGGUACCUGAGUCAGAAGCUCCGGCAAACUACGUUACAGAAGCCGCGGUAAUACGCAGGGGGCAAGGGUUAUCCGGAUUUCCUGGGUGUAAGGGGAGCGUAGACGGCAUGGCAAGUCGGAAGUAAAGGCCCGGGCUCAACCGCAGGACUGCUUUGGAUACUGUUAAGCUGGAGUGCAGGAGAGGUAAGCGGAAUUCCUAGUGUAGCGGUGAAAUGCGUAGAUAUUAGGAAGAACACCAGUGGCGAAGGCAGCUUACUGGACUGUAACUGACGUUGAGGCUCGAAAGCGUGGGGAGCAAACAGGAUUAGAUACCCCAGCAGUC